AAAGAAGUCCUUCGAAGCACGACACAUGGUUCUCACACUCAGAUCCAGCUUCUCGUCCAGCAUAUGCCGGAAGUAGCCAAGAAAUUUCUUGAUCGCUGCAUUGUCGAGGAAGGUGACCCAGAGGAUGAAAAUUACAAGGUUUCAUACGACCUUCGGUUCAUUCAAGGAAUGCCGGACGAAAAACGCAACGGG